UUUGUUUUUGUACCAAUACCAUACUAUCUUCAUGACAACAGCUUUGUAAGAUAGCCUGAAAUCCAGAAUCGCAAUGCUUCCAGUUUUAUUUUUCUUUUUCAGGAUUGCUUUGGCCAUUCAGGGUCUUUCGUGGUUCCAUGCAAAUUUUAGUAUUGUUUGGUGUAGCUCUGCGAAAAAUGCUGGUGGUAUUUUGAUGGAGAUUGAAUUCAUCCUAAACAUUUUAAGUGUUGUGUUGUAACUUGAAUUCCGAGUCUGAUAUAUUUUUUAAAAACUGAUUUCUCAGUGAAACUCAUUAGUCUACUUUUAUAUGACACCUCAUUUCUAACAGACUCUGGGAAGAAUACACCAUGAUAGGUUUGGGAAGGAAGAAAUAUAUUGUGCAGAACUUUUCAUACCUCAGAAAACAGAAGGAACACAUAAACUAGUUCUUAGAGGGGCCUCCAGGGGACGAUGCUGCACAAAGUAGAGAUCUUGUUGCUCAACAUCAUCUGCUCACGCCCUCCCCCCUGCAGCUGGCUGAGUUCUUUGCAGACAGAGACAGGGACAAGAAUCAUCCGUCAGAAAGCUCCAGGCUCAUCUCAGCAGCUUUUGCAUUUUUAUCUCAGCAAGGAACCUGUCCAAAUUUACUUUCUCCACCCUUCUUAUAUCCGAGGGCUUGGUUUCCUCAGCCAGUUUCUUGUCUGCUCAGGGGGAGAUUUUCCUGAGAAGAGCCACUGCCUUUCUACUGCUCGGCCAUGUUCCUGUUGCUUAUCUCAACACUGGGGAUAUUUGCCCCGCGAGACACUGGAGCCCAGUCAGUGACGCAGCCUGAUGUCCAUGUCACUGUCUCUGAAGGAGCCCCUCUGGAGCUGAGGUGCAACUAUUCCUCAAGUGGAACUCCUUAUCUCUUCUGGUACAUGCAGCACCCCAACCAAGGACUCCAGUUUCUACUGAAGUACUUUUCAGGGGACACCCUGGUUAAAGGCAUCAAAGGUUUUGAGGCUGAAUUUAAGAAGCAUGAAACCACCUUCCACCUGAGGAAAUCCCGAGCGCUUGGCAGCGAUGCGGCCAACUACUUCUGUGCUGUGCGUGACACAGUGUCUGGGACUGCAGGGGGAGCUGAACACAAACCACCAUGGUAGGGGAGUUUUUGGAGACUGACGGUCUCUUCCUGUGGUAUUAUCAGAGAUCUCUUGCUGUAUGAUGACAAAUGAGGCAAAUAGAGCUGAGCAGACUCAGCUAUUUCUAUAUAAUUCUACAACUCCAUGUCUGAUAAACUUAAUUUAGCAGGUUUUUGGUCUUUGUAGAAACUACAUGACAAUAAAUAGUAUUACAGAAUGAUGGAGAAGAUAGUGUUCUGGUCAUACAAUACCAAGAUGCUCAAAGACUGGCCUUGAGGUUGACCGCCUACGAGGUUAACUAUAUGAGUUUUCAUUUAUCAUUUCUUCUGUCAGCCAACCCAGAAAACAAAACACGAACUCCUCA